CUUUUUCCUUUUCCUUUUCCUUCUCUUUUUCUUUCUCACUUUCUUUUCCUUUCUCUUCUUCUUUUUCUUUCUCUUCUUCUUUUUCUAUAUCUUCUUCUUUUUCUUUCUCUUCUUUUUUUUCUUUCUCUUCUUCUUUUUCUUUCUCUUCUUCAUUCUCAUUCUCUUUCACUUUCUCUUUCUCUUUUAUUUUCUCCUUCCCACUGUCAUUCUCUUGUUCUUUUUCUUUCUCUUCUUCUUUUUCUUUUUCUUGUUCUUUUUCUUUCUCUUUCUCUUCUUCUUUUUCUAUCUCUUCUUCUUUUUCUUUCUCUUCUUCUUUUUCUUUCUCUUCUUCUUUUUCUUUCUCUUCUUCAUUCUCUUUCACUUUCUCCUUCUCUUUCUCUUUCUCCUUACCACUGUCAUUCUCUUGUUCUUUUUCUUUUUCAUUUUCUUUUUCCUUUUCAUUUUCCUUCUCUUUUUCUUUUUCACUUUCUUUUGCUUUCUCUUCUUCUUUUUCUUUCUCUUCUUCAUUCUCUUUCACUUUCUCCUUCUCUUUCUCUUUCUCCUUACCACUGUCAUUCUCUUGUCCUUUUUCUUUCUCAUUUUCUUUUUCUUUCUCAUUUUCUUUUUCUUUCUCAUUUUCUUUUUCUUUCUCAUUUUCUUUUUCCUUUUCCUUUUCCUUCUCUUUUUCUUUCUCACUUUCUUUUCCUUUCUCUUGUUCUUUUUCUUUCUCUUCUUCUUUUUCUUUCUCUUCUUUAUUCUCUUUCACUUUCUCCUGCCCACUGUCAUUCUCUUGUUCUUUUUCUUUCUCAUUUUCUUUUUCCUUUUCAUUUUCCUUCUCUUUUUCUUUCUCACUUUCUUUUUCUUUCCCAUUUUCUUUUUCCUUUUCAUUCUCCUUCUCUUUUUCUUUCUCAUUUUCUUUUUCUUUCCCAUUUUCUUUUUCCUUUUCAUUAUCAUGAUCAUCCGUUUUUUCUUGCUCUUUCUCAUUGCCAUUCUCUUGUUCUUUUUCUUCUUCAUUUUCGUUUUCAUUCUCUUUUUGCUUCUCACUCUCAUUACCAUCAUCCUUCUCUUUUUCUUUUUUUUUCACUUUCUCCAUCUCAUUCUCUUUCAUUUUCUCUUUCUCUUUUUCUUUCUCCUUCUUAUUACCAUCAUCUUUCUCAUUCUCCUUAUUUUUUUCUUUCUCCUUAUCUUUUUCUUUCUCUUCUUUUUUUUCUUCUUCAUUCUCUUUUUCCUUCUCAUUAUCAUUCUCCUCCUCUCUUUCUUUCUCCUCCUUUUUCUCUAUCUCUAUCUCUUUCUCUUUCUCCUCUUCCGUCUCUACAUUUAUAUAAUCCAUUUCUGUUUCUUGAUCAAUUUUUUUUAUUUUCGUUUUUUCUUUUUCUUGUUCUGUAUGAUCAAUUACAUGGGACUUACCCAGUAGCAUAUUCAUUUGUAUUUCAUUUUCUUCCAAUAGUCCAUUUCUUCUUAUUUCACUUGUAUUCAUUUUUUUUUUUUUUUUUU
rnacentral:lncRNA from 1 species